rnacentral:snRNA from 1 species
AUCUUUGCGCUUGGGGCAAUGACGCAGCUAGUGAGGUUAUACCGAGGCGCGUCAAUUGCUGGUCGAAAACUAUUUCCAAACCCCCUCUUUGGCCCUUCGGGGCCAUUGAGAAUUUCUGAAAGGGCUCCCUCUUCUUUGGGCGAAGGUAAAGCC